rnacentral:rRNA from 1 species
GAUGAACGCUGGCGGCGUGCCUAACACAUGCAAGUCGAGCGAACGGACGAGAAGCUUGCUCCCUUGAUGUUAGCGGCGGACGGGUGAGUAAGACGUGGAUAACCUACCUAUAAGACGGGGAUAACUUCGGGAAGCCGGAGACAAUAAUGGAUAAUACUUUGAACCGCAGGGUUCAAAAGUGAAAGACGGCUUUGCUGUCACAAAGAGAUGGAGCCGCGCUGCAUUAGCUAGUUGGUAAGGUAACGGCCUACCAAGGCGACGAUGCGUAGCCGACCUGAGAGGGUGAUCAGCCACACUGGAACUGAGACACGGUCCAGACUCCUACGGGAGGCAGCAGUGGGGAAUCUUCCGCAAUGGGCGAAAGCCUGACGGAGCAACGCCGCGUGAGUGAUGAAGGUCUUCGGGUCGUAAAGCUCUGUUAUUGGGGAAGAACAGCUGUGUAAGUAACUGUGCACGUCUUGACGGUACCUAAUCAGAAAGCCCCGGCUAACUACGUG